rnacentral:sRNA from 1 species
GAAGCCUUAUCAGUUGUGAGCGAGGACCAGUCAUUGUUUGAGUGUGCCUACGGAACGCCACACCUGGCUAAGACGGAGAUGACCGCGUCCUCCUCCAGCGACUAUGGACAGACUUCCAAGAUGAGCCCACGCGUCCCUCAGCAGGAUUGGCUGUCUCAACCCCCAGCCAGGGUCACCAUCAAAAUGGAAUGUAACCCUAGCCAGGUGAACGGCUCAAGGAACUCUCCUGAUGAAUGCAGUGUGGCCAAAGGCGGGAAGAUGGUGGGCAGCCCAGACACCGUUGGGAUGAACUAUGGCAGCUACAUGGAGGAGAAGCACAUGCCACCCCCAAACAUGACCACGAACGAGCGCAGAGUUAUCGUGCCAGCAGAUCCUACGCUAUGGAGUACAGACCAUGUGCGGCAGUGGCUGGAGUGGGCGGUGAAAGAAUAUGGCCUUCCAGAUGUCAACAUCUUGUUAUUCCAGAACAUCGAUGGGAAGGAACUGUGCAAGAUGACCAAGGACGACUUCCAGAGGCUCACCCCCAGCUACAAUGCCGACAUCCUUCUCUCACAUCUCCACUACCUCAGAGAGACUCCUCUUCCACAUUUGACUUCAGAUGAUGUUGAUAAAGCCUUACAAAACUCUCCACGGUUAAUGCAUGCUAGAAACACAGGGGGUGCAGCUUUUAUUUUCCCAAAUACUUCAGUAUAUCCUGAAGCUACGCAAAGAAUUACAACUAGGCCAGUCUUACAGAUAAAACAGCAGAACCAGUGCCAGAAAGCAGCCUUCCCUUACAUGGGCACUUCCGCCAAGCAUAUGAGUUCAUUACCUUGAAGAGCAAAGUUAAAGAGAAAUGGAGGGGGUGUUGAAAUGAUCAGCAAAAAUUAAAUGUAAAAUGUAUUCUUAUUGGAAGUCCGAUGCUCUAUUGUCAAUAAAGGACACAUAGCAAAGAUA